CCUACGGGCGGCAGCAGUGGGGAAUAUUGCACAAUGGGGGAAACCCUGCUGCAGCAACGCCGCGUGAGUGAAGAAGGUUUUCGGUAUGUAAACUCCUAUCAGCAGGGACGAUACUAGCCGUUUCUUGCCUAAGAACCCCCGGCUAACGCCGUCCCAGCAGCCGCGUUAAUACGUAGGGGGCAAGCGUUAUCCGGAAUCACUGGGUGUAAAGGGGGCGUAGACGGCUGUGCAAUCCUGAAGUGAAAGGCUGGGGCUCAACCUCUGGACUGCUUUGGGAACUGUACGGCUGGAGUGCAGGAGAGGUAAGUGGAAUUCCUGGUGUAGCGGUAAAAUGCGUAGAGAUUAGGAGGAACACCAGUGGCGAAGGCGGCUUACUAGAAUGUAACUGACGUUGAGGCUCGAAAGCGUGGGGAGCAAACAGGAUUAGAUACCCCAGUAGUC
rnacentral:rRNA from 1 species